rfam:Arabis alpina cultivar Pajares chromosome 4, whole genome shotgun sequence.
GGGUGCAAUCAUAUCAACACUAAUUCACCGAAUCCUAUCAAAACUUCGCAGUUAAGCGGGCCCGGCGAGAGUAGUACUAAGAUGGGUGACUCUCUAGGGAAGUCUGUGUGUUACCAANN